UGCUUCUCAUGAUUUUUGCAAGUAGUACUUUCAAUUUCACUAUCGUAAACCAAUGGUCCCGACGGGUUUCUUCUAGUCAUAAACUAAAAGAACCUACCAGAAGAAAACAAAAGAAAAAUUAGAAUGUAAAAAUUAAACUAAAACAAAAAUAUAAAAAUAAAAUAAAAUAAAAUAAAAAUGGAUAAAUUAAUAAAAAUCAAGUGUCCCUAAUAUUUUAGUCCUCGAAAACAACACCAA
rnacentral:lncRNA from 1 species